rnacentral:ncRNA from 1 species
AUAAAGUUUUAUUGUAGCUUGUAGAUUUAAUUGUUAUUUUUCAUACAUGUAAGUUUGGUUUUAAAUAUUUAGUUUUUCAGUAUGUUAAUUUAGUUUUAAGGUAGUUCUUUAGCUAGGAAUAUAAUAGAGUAUGAACUAAGGCUGUGCCAGUCGUUGCGGUUAUACAGUCCAUGCUAUUAAUUUUUUUUUAAUUUAGUUAGUGUUAGUUUAUAGAUUUAGUAUUAAUCUCUCUAGGUGAAAUUUUGAGAUGUGGUUGGGUUUCUUAAAUUAGUUAUUGAGGCUGUGAAACUUUAAUUUUAAAACUAGGAUUAGAUACCCUAUUAUUUUUAGUGUUAUAUAGUUAGUUAAAAUUAGUAUUAGUUAUGUUCUUGGAAGUUAAUGGAUUUGGCGGUAUUUUAGUCUGUUCAGAGGAACCUGUCCCAUAAAUGAUAGUCCACGAUUAUUUUGUCUUUUACUUUUAGUUUGCAUAUCAUCGUAUAAAGAAUAUUUUUUGAGAAUUUUAAUGUUCGUUGUUUAUUAAUAUAAAUUAAUUCAGAUCAAGGUGUAGUUUAUGUAGAAGUGGAGAUGGGUUACAUUGAAUUUAUUUUUGGAUUAUUAUUUUUAUAAAAAUUAAUUAAAUUGGAUUUGAUGGUAAUUGUAUAUAUUUAUUUGCAAUGAUUUUGGCUCUAAGGUAUGCACAUAUUGCCCGUCGCUUUCAUUUUAGGUGAAAUAAGUCGUAACAGAGUAGACCUAUUGGAAAAUGGGUCUGGAAAACC